AGAAUUUGAAAAUUUUUUAAUAAUAUAUCACUACAACAGAAUUAGGUUAUAUGGACACAUGUUUGGGACACUUUUGAGUAAGUGUCCCAUUUAUGCUAAAACUUAAAAAAAAUCUACUUAUACCUAAAUAUAAAGCCCAAUCCAACCAAAAAUAAAAGAUUACUCUACUCAACUAACCACACCCAGUCCAUUUGACCCGAUUACAAAUAGAAAAGAAAAAAAAAAAAGAAAAAUUAAUUACCAUCUUUUCUUCUUUCUUCACUCAAUCCACUGAAAUUCUAGACGAAGAGCCUUUCCUGUCGUCCUUCUCCGCCACCGCAGCCAACGAGAUAGAGUUUCGGCGGUUGCUAAAUGCUUAAAUAAGUGUUGGUAAAUUAGCAGCACUCUUUUAGAUUAUAGCGACACUCCUUAACUGUCACUAUAUACCUAGCGACCCCACAUAUAGCAACACUUUUUAAAAGUGUCGGUAAUUUUAGCUAGCAGCACUUUUUUGACAUGUACCUACAUUUAAAAGUGUCGCUAUAGACCGUUUUUGUUGUAGUGUAUGUACGGAGAAUUUCCAUAAUAUUAUAAAAGAUAAAUUGCACAUAUGGUCCUCAGAAUAUAUGGCGAGUGAUAUUUUAAUCCUCAAAAUUUAAUUUGUUAUUAUCUUUGGCUCGAACUUUUAAAAUCGUGACAAUAAAAUCCCACAACUCAAUUGAGCUGACUAAAUAUUAA
rnacentral:lncRNA from 1 species